rnacentral:lncRNA from 10 species
CUUCGCCCCGCCCCGUCCGCGCAGCUCGUCCGGCCCGCCCGCAGGCCAGCUUCUCUCGGGAGCCUCCACCCAGGCGCAUGGCUCCAUGAAGCAAGAGGAGGAGGCAGAGCGCGAGAGAUCCCGUCCGCCCCAGCCGCGUCUGGGCCAGGAGAAAAGCAAAACCAUAUUCCUGCUGCUGUCAGUUUUGAUGCACUGAGAAAACUUCAGAGACCUAAGCUUUUUCCAGAGAAGAGAAGCUUUACUGGUGUUCCAGCCCUAAGGCUCAUAUGACAUUAACAGACAAGACACUUUUCAGAAAGACAGGUAAGUCAUUUGUUAAAAUCUCACUACUGUUGUUUAACAGAAACAUAUAUAUGCAUGUAUAUGUGUGUACUGUAUGGAAAAAGUGGAAUUAGAGUUUAUCUAGAAAAGAAAAAAUUACCUCAUCUAAGUGCAGAAAUGAAUAAUACUUAAACCAUACCAUACAAUUCUCUAUCAUAUUUCCACAGAUAAGUCAAAAAUUUAAAAAAUCUUAUUGUUCAUGCAUAAAUGCAGAAAACAAUAUCUCUAGUAUAUGUUUGUGUUCUAUUGUACUUUCACAGAAGGUGUUUGAUACUUAAUACUGUGUUUAUUAAGAAAAAUCUUUGCAAUGGUUAUGGAAUUAAAAUUUCAUGUAAAAAUGAUUAUGUAGAUCAAGAAAAGUUGCAAUUUUCUGGAUUCCUGAUAUUUUAAAUAAAAGUAGUUUCCAAAGGCGA